rnacentral:lncRNA from 1 species
GUUAUAUAGUUUGGUCUAGCCUUGAAUUCACUAUGGAGUCCAGGCUAGCAUUGAACUCACCAUACCCUCCUGCCUCAGCCUCCUCAGUGCUGGGAUUAUAGUUAUGUACCAUCAAGUCAGCCUUAAAUUUAUGAAUUUUUAUUUCUGAAAUUUUCUGUUUAGUAUUUCUGGACCAUGGUGACUGAGGCUAGCUAAAACCACAAAAAGCAAAAUCUCAGGUUGCCCUUGAGUUGCCCAGGCUGGCCUUGCACUAUGGUCCUCCAGAGAGAAGAGGUCUGUGCUCGAGACCCAGGUGCCCUCCGCCUGGACCCGAGGAGCGGGGGAAUCUGAAGCAGCUGCAGGUGAUGAGUCAUCUGGAAGACGGAGCAGCUGCCUGUGUGUGUGUGGGGUGCUGUGAAGGGAAAGCGUAGCCUGCACUGUGGUCCUGGCCAGGGCAGCAGAAGGCUGAGACAGGACAGUGCCCUCCCCUCAUUGCUUCACACCCCUAGGUGCUUGUUAGUUUCAACAUGAGUCUGUUCCUAAUACUCAGGAAGAGGCCUCAGAUAUAAACUGUGAAGGAAGGUAGGGGCUGAGGUCGGUGAACUGAUGUCCUAAUCCAGGGACUGCUGGUGCAGGUGGCUUAGUGGGAGAGAGCUGGCUUACAGGUGGGAGGGUAUCCCCAGUAUAGAAUAAAAAUAUAAACCAAUGCGAAAAGGCAAACCCCAGAACAAAAAAUGGACAAAUGACACAAUUCUUGAGGAAAUACAUAUGAUUAAUGAACAUGCAAAAUGUUU